rnacentral:rRNA from 1 species
UACGGAGGAUGCGAGCGUUAUCCGGAUUUAUUGGGUUUAAAGGGUGCGUAGGCGGGCUGUUAAGUCAGCGGUCAAAUGUCGGGGCUCAACCCCGGCCUGCCGUUGAAACUGGCGGGCUGGAGUUGGAGAGAAGUACGCGGAAUGCGCGGUGUAGCGGUGAAAUGCUUAGAUAUCGCGCAGAACCCCGAUUGCGAAGGCAGCGUACCGGCUCCACACUGACGCUGAGGCACGAAAGCGUGGGUAUCGAACAGG